rnacentral:rRNA from 1 species
AGAGUGUGAUUCUGGCUCAGGAUGAACGCUGGCGGCGUGCCUAACACAUGCAAGUCGAGCGAGAACCGAAAAGACAGAAGCUUCGGCCGAAGGAUUUUUGGGGAAAGCGGCGGACGGGUGAGUAACGCGUAGGUAACCUGCCCUAUACACGGGGAUAGCCACUGGAAACGGUGAUUAAUACCCGAUAGUCUCUUGUAACGCAUGUUAUGAGAGGGAAAGAUUUAUCGGUAUGGGAUGGACCUGCGUCUGAUUAGGUAGUUGGUGGGGUAACGGCCUACCAAGCCGACGAUCAGUAGCCGACCUGAGAGGGUGACCGGCCACAUUGGGACUGAGACACGGCCCAAACUCCUACGGGAGGCAGCAGUGGGGAAUAUUGCACAAUGGGGGAAACCCUGAUGCAGCGACGCCGCGUGAGCGAAGAAGUAUUUCGGUAUGUAAAGCUCUAUCAGCAGGGAAGAAAAUGACGGUACCUGACUAAGAAGCACCGGCUAAAUACGUGCCAGCAGCCGCGGUAAUACGUAUGGUGCAAGCGUUAUCCGGAUUUACUGGGUGUAAAGGGAGCGUAGACGGCUGUGUAAGUCUGAAGUGAAAGCCCGGGGCUCAACCCCGGGACUGCUUUGGAAACUAUGCAGCUAGAGUGUCGGAGAGGUAAGUGGAAUUCCCAGUGUAGCGGUGAAAUGCGUAGAUAUUGGGAGGAACACCAGUGGCGAAGGCGGCUUACUGGACGAUGACUGACGUUGAGGCUCGAAAGCGUGGGGAGCAAACAGGAUUAGAUACCCUGGUAGUCCACGCCGUAAACGAUGACUAAUGGGUGUCGGGUGUCACAGACACUCGGUGCUGCAGCAAACGCAAUAAGUAGUCCACCUGGGGAGUACGUUCGCAAGAAUGAAACUCAAAGGAAAUGACGGGGACCCGCACAAGCGGUGGAGCAUGUGGUUUAAUUUGAAGCAACGCGAAGAACCUUACCUGGUCUUGACAUCCCUAUGACCGACGAGUAAUGUCGUCUUUCCUUCGGGACAGAGGAGACAGGUGGUGCAUGGUUGUCGUCAGCUCGUGUCGUGAGAUGUUGGGUUAAGUCCCGCAACGAGCGCAACCCUUAUCUUCAGUAGCCAGCAUUUAAGGUGGGCACUCUGGAGAGACUGCCAGGGAUAACCUGGAGGAAGGUGGGGAUGACGUCAAAUCAUCAUGCCCCUUAUGACCAGGGCUACACACGUGCUACAAUGGCGUAAACGAAGGGAAGCAGAGCCGCGAGGCCGAGCAAAUCCCAAAAAUAACGUCUCAGUUCGGAUUGUAGUCUGCAACUCGACUACAUGAAGCUGGAAUCGCUAGUAAUCGCGAAUCAGCAUGUCGCGGUGAAUAAAGGCCCGGGUCUUGCACUCUCCGCCCGUCA